rfam:Yoka poxvirus strain DakArB 4268, complete genome.
GAACUUUUUCACAAAAGACUUUAUCUAGUAAUUCUUCAUCAGAUAAUUCUGAAUUUGAAUGU